UAAUAGGGUCCUGGAAUGUUAAGAUGAACCCAAAUUUUUUCAAUCUUACUUUAUUAUUAGACUCAUUUUUGUUUGUACAGAUACGUAAUUCUGAAAUACUCCAUAAUUCUAUAAAAAUUUAAAAAUAUUCCUUUUCUUUCUCUCUGCCUUAUAAAUAGUAUAAUUAUAUAACUUCACAUAAAAAACUGUGAUAGUUCAGGUUCUUUGAGAAGCAGACUCCAAGGCUAGAUUAAACACGCAGUGGUUUUGUUAGGGGAAAACCCCUGAGGAAGAAGAUAGAAAAAGAGUCAUGGAAUAAUAGGAGAGCUGUUGAUCCACAGUAUGAGUCUUACACCCAACUGAAGAAGAUAGAAAAGGGGAGAUGUUGUAAAUAUUCUGAACAGCUUGCAAAGUAAGGCAGUUUGGCAAAGUCAUCAAAGGGUUCUUGAACCAAAGUCAACCAGCUCGGGAGUCCUGUUUGCUUCCAGAAGCAAACCUGUCUUGGUAUCCCCAUCCUGCUCAGUCCAUUGCAUGGAGAAGCCUAUGGGAAAUAUAGGUUUUGGUCAGUGUGGCAAUGGAUUUUUUUUCCAUGCAGCAGGAAGCAGCUAGAGCCGUUGUUCCAUUACAGUCCCGUCAGUUGGAAGCUCGAAAGGAACAUUUGCAUGGUUGCCACAGAUACGGUUCGCUAAAGAAAAUAUUCUUCAACCUUGAUCUUAUAUGUGACAAACUAGAAUCAAUCCCUGAAAUAAGAGUCAAGAUCUAAACUGUAGAUUCUAGAAGAUGGAAGAAAUCCAAUUACACUGAAAAGCACAUGAAAUGAUGUCACAAUAUGAAUAACAUGUCACUCUGCGUGGAGAUCAGCCUAGUCUCACUCAUGCCCUCUCCCUCUAGUGUGGGAAAACAAGAGGAACCUCCAAAAUUUCCUAGCUGCACAAAGAAAUUGGUGGAAAUUCACUUCAUUUUGAAGCUCGGGGUUUCUAUGUGGUUGAUUUAAUCAAAAUAUUAAUGUGAUUUUUCUAGAAGAAGAAAAAGGGAAAAUAUAAAAAUCAUGCUGAUUGGAUUUGAAUAGAUUGUAUUGAUCAUAUAUGAAUAUUAUCUUUCAUCCAGAUUGGAAAGUACUGUUUUGAAAUCCAGUCCUUCACACUUCCAAACUGAUCAUUUUUAAUAAGUAAAUGUCAUUUUGGCUUUUUUUUUUUUUUUCUGGUCAGGAAGAAAAACAAGAAGUUUCCUUCCGCAAACUUCCUAAAAGGUGCCAUGUGUUUUCCUAAAACCAAGGAAAAUUCUAAAAUAGAACUACCAUAUGAUUCAGCAAUCCCACUUCUCUAAAUCUCCAGAAUCUCCAGGGAUUGGAACCAAGUGCUUUAUCUUUACCAUAUACCAAUCCAUGAAUCAACUCCAAAACAGAUCUCUAGAAACAGACAAGACUGACUACUGCCUGAAGGUUUCUGACACCAAGUUCCUGAGAGGAAUACAUUCUCUUCUCCUUUGGCUGCUUAAUCCCUUCUCAUGAAAAAUAACCUUGACCUUUGCAUUCUAGAUGUACCAAAUAUGAAAUAAUUUUAGAAUUCGAUCUCAAAUGGCCCUUUUGCAAACUCCAAAAUGUUGUAAUCUACCAAGACUAAGCAAAUGGCUGCUGAGAAGUUUUGCCAGGUCAGUUGAGUUUUUCUUUCUGAACCUCAGUUUAACACUCUUCCUGAUUUUCUUUUACUUUGAAAUUUAAAGAUUUCAAAUUUUACUGUAGACAAGAAAAAAAUGUUAUCAGUGACUAUACAUUUUGCUGGUAUGAUAAUCUUUGGUAAUUUGUUCAAUGUUAACUUUCUCUUUUUUCCCAUGAAUGGUUAAAAUGUUUUUGGAUAUUGAAUUAUAGGCAAUGCAAUGUAAAUAUAACACAGCUAAAAUACACUGCCUUUACAGUUACCAGUAACGAAAGUUAAUGCCAUCUUGUGAAAUGAUCUAGUAGAGUCUUUGUCAGCACUUUCACUAAAACCUCAGUUUUUAGUCAUUUAUAGCAUCAGCAAACAGGACUUCAGAGGGAAUAAUACCAUCUGUUGUUAUUAAGAGUGACAUAGCCCAAGGUUAGGGCAGACAUGCAAAAAUCCUUUGAUCUUCAGUAUUUCUUUGCUUCUAUUUACUAUGAACUUGCCUAGUUGAGUUGAUGAAAAGUAUGCAACGAUCAAUUUGGUUUAAAUCCAAACCUCAGUGGAAAAGCUGUGAAUCAACUGAAGGAACUACUGAUUUGUCAACUCUUGUUCUGUUUUGCCUGUGGUGUGAUAACAUCAUGCUUGUACACAAAAAUUUAUCAUUGUAAUUUCAAAACCUGUAAAAGUAUUUCCUUUCCUGAGAAAAACUCAGAGUUAGACUCUAUUUAUUCAUAUUUUGUAAUACAUAACUCCUAAGAAGACACUCAGCAAGUCAGAAAAGAAGCUGAAUCCUGAAUAUAGAAACAAACAUCAAUCUUAACAUAUAAAAACGAGAGUGAGUGAAUGAUGUAUCAGCAAUCAUAGAGUUGGGUCAAUACAUUAAGUGGAAAAGAAACCAUAGAAUAAGAAACUCAGAUAACAUGCUGACUUGAACUAUCAUGUCACAAUCUCAGAAGACUGUGUUACCAGAAAAAAUAGCUAAUUCAACUCAUUAGAAUACAAGCAUAAACUAUUACUAUAUGUUGUCAUUAUUCAUGGCAUUUCAUGUAAGUAUCUUAGAACAAGCUUAAAACUUAUUAAUUUUCACAUUAUUCUUCCAAAUUUUGGAAAGUUAAUAUGAUUACAACUACAAUAAGCAAUUAUUUAAAUGAUUUGAAAAAUAUUCUUAACCAAAAAUCUAUACAAAUAAGCUAUUUCUGUGGCUCUGAAGGUAAAGUAUAUAUUCUUCUCACCAUAUACCUUCUUUUAUUCUCUCUGCCUUUUAAAUUUUUAUUUCUUUUGUCCAUAGUCUUGCCCUGAACAAUCAUUAGUCCCCCAAAGUAUGCUGUCAUACUCUUAACGUGACUACUUCUCAAGCAUGACAGCAUCUGAUGAAAACAAAAACAAGGUUAAAGGUUUUACCAAUUUCUCUUCUAACAAACAAAAGGUGACUUUUUUUAAGAAAGUGUAUUUAUUGUUUUGAGAAUCCUAGCGUACAGUUUAGCAAAUGACUGCUUCAUAAUAAUAACUUAUAAUUUUCUGCUGCCUUAAAAUUUACAAAGUGCUCUUACACACAUAUCACCUGAUCUUUGCCUCAACCCACUGAAAAAGGUUGAAAUAAAAGUGACUUGCUUAAUUCAUACAAUUAGGUCGUCUGACAAGUUUUAAGUAAAAACUUACAUUUAAAAAUUCAUAUUUUAAAAUUAGUAGGUUUUUGACCAAAAGACUAAACUCAUUAUUUUGCAAUCACUAUCCUUUAUGAAAUGUGAAAAUCCAUAAAAUAUUAUUUGUUUAGCACUAGCAAGUGAUUCCAUGGGUGGGAAGAUGGAUGAAAACUCAUCCUAAAGCACUAACAGUUAUACCAAAAUUAAUUUGUAAGAUAUCUAUUUACUUCAUAAAAGAUUAGUAAGACUAUCUUGCAAUAAUACAUUUUUCCCUCAUGAAAUAUUAGACCUUAACAAUAGUUUAUAAGGUGAGUUUCACUGGAAAAUUCUAUAUAUAUGAAGCAUUGGUUUUUCAAAAUAUAUUUGAUUUGUCAUACUGUUACAUGUUUCUGGAGGAACAUCACAGAGAUAAAGAAAAAUUCACAUCACAUCGUAUCAAGAAUACCUAUUAGAAAUGUAAUCAAUCACUUCCAGCUGGCAAGAUGGCCAGAUAGGAACAGCUCUGGUCUGCAGCUCCCAGCAAGAUCAACACAGAAGUGGUGCCUGGAACACCAGUGAGACAGAACCAUUCACUACCAUGGAAAGAGGGCUGAAGUGAGAGCCAAGUGGGCUACCUCAGCAGAUCCCACCCCACAGAGCCCAGCAAGGUAAGAUCCACUGGCUUGAAAUUCCCGCUCCCAGAACAUCAGUUUGAAGUCCACCAGGGACACUAGAGCUUGGUGGGGGGAGGGGCAUCCACCAUUACUGAGGCUUGAGUAGGCGGUUUUCCCCUCACAGUAUAAACAAAGCCACUAGGAAUUUGAAACGCGGCAGAGCCCAGCACAGCUCUGCAAAGUUGAGGUAGCCUCACUACCUCUCUAGAAUCCUCCUCUCUCAGCAGGGCA
rnacentral:lncRNA from 1 species